rnacentral:rRNA from 1 species
GAUGAACGCUGGCGGCGUGCCUAAUACAUGCAAGUCGAGCGAACGGACGAGAAGCUUGCUUCUCUGAUGUUAGCGGCGGACGGGUGAGUAACACGUGGAUAACCUACCUAUAAGACUGGGAUAACUUCGGGAAACCGGAGCUAAUACCGGAUAAUAUUUUGAACCGCAUGGUUCAAAAGUGAAAGACGGUCUUGCUGUCACUUAUAGAUGGAUCCGCGCUGCAUUAGCUAGUUGGUAAGGUAACGGCUUACCAAGGCAACGAUGCAUAGCCGACCUGAGAGGUGGAUCGGCCACACUGGAACUGAGACACGGUCCAGACUCCUACGGGAGGCAGCAGUAGGGAAUCUUCCGCAAUGGGCGAGAGCCUGACGGAGCAACGCCGCGUGAGUGAUGAAGGUCUUCGGAUCGUAAAACUCUGUUAUUAGGGAAGAACAUAUGUGUAAGUAACUGUGCACAUCUUGACGGUACCUAAUCAGAAAGCCACGGCUAACUACGUG